AAACCUUGCUAAAUUGAAAAAGUAUGUUUGGAAUUCCAAUAAACUCUUACUUAUUCUCUUUCUGCUACAUAGAUGAGAGAAAGUGAUUGUCUCUGAGAGCUCUGGAGAACACAGGGUGCUAAGUAGUCUGAAUGAAUCCUGCCUGCCUGCAGCAUAACGUUCUGUUCCCAGCCAGAGAACGACGAGACCCCUGGCACCGAGUCAGGCAUACAUACUGGAUUGUAAAGUUGUCCCCCAGCGGAGUACGAACUGAAGACCCCUAGGUCAAAGUGGGAAUCACCUGUGGUGGAGAAUGACCAAGCAAAGAUCCUGUGGGACUUCCAGCUUCAAACAGACAAGAUAAUAAUGGCCAACCAACCGGACAUUGUGAUCAUUGAUCAGCAGCAGAGGAGAGUCAAUGUUACUGAUGUGGUCAACCCCAAUGAUGGAAACAUCAGGAAAAAAGGAGCACAAGAAACUGGAGAAAUUUCAAGAGCUGGAACCAGCCUGGCAGGUGAAGGUCACUGUAGUGCCUGUGGACAUUGGCGCACUCAGGGCAGUGACCCCCAUGCUGGAGAAGAGGCUUCAACAGAUACCUGGAGAAACAUCUGACACCUCAGUCCAGAGGAGUGCAGUCCUUGAAACAGCUAAGAUACUGUGCCUAAAGGCCUACACACAUGCCUAUAUGUUAUAAACAAAUAACAAAUAAAAAUACAUCUAAGAUACAA